rnacentral:tRNA from 1 species
UAGUUAAUGAGCUUGGAUAAGCAUAUAUUUUGAAAAUAUAAGAGAGAUUUCAUAAUAAUCUAUUAACUU